CGGACAAAUUAUUGUAUUCGACUGUAUUCACAGCGUGAAACAGGGGAUUACACUGUUUUUAAACGGAAAGUGAAUCAAUUAACAUAAUAGACUCCU
rfam:Nicotiana sylvestris Nsyl_contig102733, whole genome shotgun sequence.